rnacentral:rRNA from 1 species
UGGGGAAUAUUGGACAAUGGGCGAAAGCCUGAUCCAGCCAUGCCGCGUGUGUGAAGAAGGUCUUCGGAUUGUAAAGCACUUUAAGUUGGGAGGAAGGGCAGUAAGCGAAUACCCUGCUGUUUUGACGCUACCGACAGAAUAAGCACAGGCUAACUCUGUGCCAGCAGCCGCGGUAAUACAGAGGGUGCAAGCGUUAAUCGGAAUUACUGGGCGUAAAGCGCGCGUAGGUGGUUCGUUAAGUUGAAUGUGAAAGCCCCGGGCUCAACCUGGGAACUGCAUCCAAAACUGGCGAGCUAGAGUAGGGCUGAUGGUGGUGGAGGUUCCUGUGUAGCGGUGAAAUGCGUAGAUAUAGGAAUGAAAACCAGUGGCGAAGGCGACCACCUGAGCUCAUACUGACACUGAGGUGCGAACGCGUGGGGAGCAAACAGG